UUCUGGCAGCGCUUUUGCAAAGCACCAUCUACUUCCGUGGAAGGGAAAGCGUCAUGGCGGCUUCCUGUUUCGUCGCGCAAGGUUUUUCAAUACGGACUCUCAACAAACUUUCGCGAUUCUUAUACGUCGAACGCAUCCUCCCUCGUGAAAAAUCUGGACUGAAGUGACCGCAUUGAUGAAGACAAACAUCUAUAGCUCGGAACUUUGCCUCGUUUCGCCCAUGGGUUGCAAAGGAAAAAGGGUGUAAAAGGUGGCAAUGAAUCCGCACAUGAAGCUGGCUCACAAGCUAAGCCUCCGCUAAAGAGGUCCACUAAGCAAGCAUUUUAAAUAUUGCUAAUAAAACAUUUUGUUCUGUCUUCAUCUACCUAA
rnacentral:lncRNA from 1 species